ensembl:rRNA 5S_rRNA 5S ribosomal RNA
GGCCACAGCCAUAUCACCCUGCAUCCCAAGACUGGUUGCCCAUUGAAACUAAGCAGGGCUGAGCCUGGUCUGUACCUUGAUGGGAGACCUCCUGGGAAAACUAGGUUGCUGUUGUAA